GGCGCCUUCGUCUAGUGGUCAGGACGCUGGCCUCUCACGCCGGUAACACGGGUUCGAAUCCCGUAGGCGCUA
rnacentral:tRNA from 1 species